ACCUUAGAGAUCAACUAAGUUUGUUCUGGGUAUAAGCUUUCGUGUGCAUGUACACUUCUUCAGAUACACCACAAACGUGCAUGCACACAAAAGCUUAUACCCAGAACAAACUUAGUUGGUUUCUAAGGU